rnacentral:snRNA from 1 species
AGCUCUGCGAAGUGGCAGUAUCGUAGCCAAUGAGGUUUAUCCAAGGCUAGAUUAUUGCUAAUUGAAAAAAAAACCAAAGG